rnacentral:rRNA from 1 species
AUUGAACGCUGGCGGCAUGCCUAAACAUGCAAGUCGAACGGAGGUAGGGGCAACUCUACUUCAGUGGCGGACGGGUGAGGAAUGCGUCGGAAUCUACCCUAUGGUGGGGGAUAACACAGGGAAACUUGUGCUAAUACCGCAUAAUGUCGAGAGACCAAAGCAGGGGACCGCAAGGCCUUGCGCGAUAGGAUGAGCCGACGCCCGAUUAGCUAGUUGGUAGGGUAAAGGCCUACCAAGGCGACGAUCGGUAGCUGGUCUGAGAGGAUGAUCAGCCACACUGGGACUGAGACACGGCCCAGACUCCUACGGGAGGCAGCAGUGGGGAAUAUUGGACAAUGGGCGCAAGCCUGAUCCAGCAAUGCCGCGUGUGUGAAGAAGGCCUGCGGGUUGUAAAGCACUUUUGUUCGGGAAGAAAUCAUGCUGGUUAAUACCUGGUAUGGAUGACGGUACCGAAAGAAUAAGCACCGGCUAACUUCGUG